rnacentral:rRNA from 1 species
UACGUAGGGGGCAAGCGUUGUCCGGAGUUACUGGGCGUAAAGCGCACGCAGGCGGUCGAUUAAGUUUGGAGUGACAGUUGGUGGCUUAACUGCCAAAGUGCUUCGAAAACUGAUCGACUUGAGGGCUUCAGAGGGACACGGAAUUCCGGGUGGAGUGGUGAAAUGCGUAGAGAUCCGGAGGAACACCGAAGGCGAAGGCAGUGUCCUGGGGAGUACCUGACGCUCAGGUGCGAAAGCCAGGGGAGCAAACGGG